UCAAAUGAUGAUCGAACUUUUUUAAAGUUGGAAUUACCGUCUGAACUACAUGUAGAUACAAAUUGGCUGUUUUUCUGAUA
rfam:Mucor ambiguus DNA, scaffold: scf_mam1_v10094, strain NBRC 6742.